rnacentral:lncRNA from 1 species
UCGGGUGUUUACAGAACAAUAAGAAAGUAGUCUCAUAUGCAAAAAGGCUUCGCCAGUCACAGCCCCCCAAGGGGUGUGGGUUCUGAGAGGCGGAACCAGCCGCCCAGGCCCUCUCUCCAUUGGUCGGGUUCAGCAGGUAACCCGAAGCUUUGCCGAGAGGUGCAUAAAUAAAGAGUGAAACUAGUACCACCUCCUCGAAAGGGGCUGAGUCCUUCUUCACCCUUCCUUGGAAAAACCAGUUUCUCUCUCUUUUAUUGUCUAUUAGCAACUUCUAUUCUGAAAGUGCAGCUGAACCCCACCAUACUCCAAACUCUCUCUUCUAGCUACCUUUGCUCCUCUCUACUCCAAUUCUACUUUCCUCUGCUUUCAGAUUCUUUUUACCCAAGGGAGAAUGACUAUUCAGGACAGGCCCCCACCUUCCCUCGGGAAUCUGUUCUGCACAGGCCUGCUGAAAUGGACACUUCAUGCACACAAAGUGGGGCCUGA